CCUACGGGUGGCAGCAGUGGGGGAUAUUGCACAAUGGGGGGAACCCUGAUGCAGCGACGCCGUGUGGGUGAAGUAGUGCUUCGGCAUGUAAAGCCCUAUCGGCAGGGAAGAAGCAAGACGGUACCUGACUAAGAAGCCCCGGCUAACUACGUGCCAGCAGCCGCGGUAAUACGUAGGGGGCGAGCGUUAUCCGGAUUCACUGGGUGUAAAGGGAGCGUAGACGGCCAUGCAAGCCAGGGGUGAAAGCCCGGGGCCCAACCCCGGGACUGCCCUUGGAACUGUGCGGCUAGAGUGCGGGAGGGGCAGGAGGAAUUCCUGGUGUAGAGGUGAAAUGCGUAGAUAUCAGGAGGAACACCGGCGGCGAAGGCGGCCUGCUGGACCGCGACUGACGUUGAGGCUCGAAAGCGUGGGGAGCGAACAGGAUUAGAUACCCGGGUAGUC
rnacentral:rRNA from 1 species